rnacentral:rRNA from 1 species
AGUGAACGCUGGCGGUAGGCCUAACACAUGCAAGUCGAACGGCAGCAUAGUAAGAGCUUGCUCUUACGGGUGGCGAGUGGCGGACGGGUGAGGAAUACAUCGGAAUCUACUUUUUCGUGGGGGAUAACGUAGGGAAACUUACGCUAAUACCGCAUACGACCUACGGGUGAAAGCAGGGGAUCUUCGGACCUUGCGCGAUUGAAUGAGCCGAUGUCGGAUUAGCUAGUUGGCGGGGUAAAGGCCCACCAAGGCGACGAUCCGUAGCUGGUCUGAGAGGAUGAUCAGCCACACUGGAACUGAGACACGGUCCAGACUCCUACGGGAGGCAGCAGUGGGGAAUAUUGGACAAUGGGCGCAAGCCUGAUCCAGCCAUACCGCGUGGGUGAAGAAGGCCUUCGGGUUGUAAAGCCCUUUUGUUGGGAAAGAAAAGCAGCAGGUUAAUACCCCGCUGUUCUGACGGUACCCAAAGAAUAGGCACCGGCUAACUUCGUG